rnacentral:tRNA from 2 species
CGGGGCGUGGCUCAGUUUGGCUAGAGCGCUUGAAUGGGGUUCAAGAGGUCACAGGUUCAAGUCCUGUCGCCCCGA